rnacentral:rRNA from 1 species
AUCCUACGGGAGGCAGCAGUGGGGAAUAUUGCACAAUGGGGGAAACCCUGAUGCAGCGACGCCGCGUGAGUGAAGAAGUAUUUCGGUAUGUAAAGCUCUAUCAGCAGGGAAGAUAAUGACGGUACCUGACUAAGAAGCCCCGGCUAACUACGUGCCAGCAGCCGCGGUAAUACGUAGGGGGCAAGCGUUAUCCGGAUUUACUGGGUGUAAAGGGAGCGUAGGUGUCAGGGCAAGUCAGAUGUGAAAACCC